AUAUUGGACAAUGGGUGAGAGCCUGAUCCAGCCAUGCCGCGUGCAGGAAGAAGGCGUUAUGCGUUGUAAACUGCUUUUGCCAGGGGAUAAAACGACUCUGCGGAGUUAAUUGAAGGUACCUGGUGAAUAAGCCACGGCUAACUACGUGCCAGCAGCCGCGGUAAUACGUAGGUGGCAAGCGUUGUCCGGAUUUAUUGGGUUUAAAGGGUGCGUAGGCGGCCCACUAAGUCAGUGCUGAAAUAUCCCGGCUUAACCGGGAGGGUGGCAUUGAUACUGGUGGGCUUGAGUACAGAUGAAGUAGGCGGAAUUGACGGUGUAGCGGUGAGAUGCAUAGAUAUCGUCAAGAACACCGAUAGCGAAGGCAGCUUACUAAGCUGUAACUGACGCUGAGGCACGAAAGUGUGGGGAUCAAACAGGAUUAGAUACCCUGGUAGUCCACACUGUAAACGUUGAUGACUCGAUGUUGGCGAUACACAGCCAGCGUCCAAGAGCAAUCGUUAAGUCAUCCACCUGG
rnacentral:rRNA from 1 species